ACGUUCAGACUUUCGAGUUCGACUGUAACAUCGUUCUAGGCGGCCGCGGUAGACGUUUAAAAGGUGCUUGUUCAGUGAUAAUUUUUUUCCUAAUCGGAGGAUCGUACUCGAUUCCUCAAUUCAUCGUAUUGGUAUUGUCAAGUUUUUACGAAAAACCAGUUAUCAUGCGACUAGACUCCACUUAGCGCUUGGGAUUUCCACCGAUCGUUGACACUUGGUUAAGGUAUGAUAAACCUCGGGCUUCUGCAAGGAUGUUGGUGGAAUGAGCUUGACUCAAGAGUUCCUGUUGUAAUUAUAAAGUUUCACGCAAGAUAAAGCUGCUGUUUAGUAACUGGUAUGUAGGCAAUGCAGAUAAAUCAAGGAAAGUAUGGCUAUGAGGAGUGAAAGAUGUGCAGUGCAGAGCGCGUGUUCCGAUGAUGGGUGAGGAGGACCCAUUAGAACUGUCUUCAACAUGGAAAUACUUUUACAGCGCUGAUGUGAAUUGAAGUGAAAUCGAGAAUGCUUUUUCUUAUAAAACCAAAACCUUAGUCGUCACAAGAGACCGCGAGAAUUGAGUGCUGCAGAAUGUUCUUCUCUUAAGAUGAGGUGCUAGAAGAAAGUCUGCCUCCAAUAUUGCCAACUGAAAUAUGGAAUAAUUGAGGACUUCAACUGGCAUGACUAGUACUAAUAGUAUUCUUAGUUUUCAUAACGCUAUACAAAAUUGUUUCGUGUCAUCGUUCGAAUAUCUGGAAAUGAAUACACUAAAGUAACUCCAAAACAGGUUUACAAAGUGAAACGAUAUAAAUAACUUGACUUGAAAAGUAUGAUCCUUGCUAUCAUCAUGCAAAAAAAAUGCAUUCUUAAAUGCUGUGACAUACGCUGUGACAUACAAUCUGCAGGAAAGUUUUUUUGGUUCUCAUUGUCCACAAAAAGUUUUUUUUUUUUCAAAAUUAAAUUAUCACUUUA